rnacentral:rRNA from 1 species
AACGAACGCUGGCGGCAUGCCUAACACAUGCAAGUCGAGCGGAAGAGCCGUGUUUGCUCUAGGCUUCAGCGGAGCGCGGGUGUGACACGUGUAUAAAUCUCCCUGGAAGUUGGGGUAACCGUCGGAAACUGGGCGCUAAUACCGCAAUCUUCCUGAGCGGCAAGGUGGGGGUUGUUAAGACCUCGCGCUAUCAGAUGGACCUGGGUCCGAUUAGCUAGUUGGUGGGGUAAUGGCCUACCAAGGCGACGACCCGUAACCGGCCUGAGAGGAUGACCAGGCACACAGGAACUGAGACGCGGUCCAGGGGCCUACGGGAGGCAGAAGUGGGGAAUGGUGGACGAUGGGCGGAAGCCUGAUCAAGGGAUGCCGCGUGUGUGAAGAAGGUCUGCGGGUGGGAAAGCGCCUUAAGGGGGGAGAAAGGGCAGUAGCAGAAUACCUGGUUGUUUUGACGGUACCAACAGAAGAAGCACCGGCUAACUUCGUG